UACGUAGGGUGCGAGCGUUGUCCGGAAUUAUUGGGCGUAAAGAGCUUGUAGGUGGCUCGUUGCGUCGGGAGUGAAAACCUGCGGCUUAACCGCAGGCCUGCUUCCGAUACGGGCGAGCUAGAGUUCGGCAGGGGAGACUGGAAUUCCUGGUGUAGCGGUGGAAUGCGCAGAUAUCAGGAGGAACACCGGUGGCGAAGGCGGGUCUCUGGGCCGAUACUGACACUGAGAAGCGAAAGCGUGGGGGAGCGAACAGG
rnacentral:rRNA from 1 species